rnacentral:rRNA from 1 species
CAUGCAUGUCUCAGUGCAAGCCAAAUUAAGGUGAAACCGCAAAUGGCUCAUUAAAUCAGUUAUGGUUCAUUAGAUAUUACCAUACUUUACUUGGAUAACUGUGGUAAUUCUAGAGCUAAUACAUGCAAACCGAGUUCCGACCGGUGACGGUAGGGACGCUUUUAUUAGAUCAAAAUCAAUACGUUUGUUUUUGGACAAAUGUAAACUAUUGGUGACUCUGAAUAACUUUUUGAUGAUCGCAUGGUCUUUGUACCGGCGACAAAUCUUUCAAAUGUCUGCCUUAUCAACUGUCGAUGUUAGGUUCUGCGCCUAACAUGGUUGUAACGGGUAACGGGGAAUCAGGGUUUGAUUCCGGAGAGGGAGCCUGAGAAACGGCUACCACAUCCAAGGAAGGCAGCAGGCACGCAAAUUACCCACUCCCAGCACGGGGAGGUAGUGACGAAAAAUAACGAUACGGGACUCAUCCGAGGCCCCGUAAUCGGAAUGAGUACACUUUAAAUACUUUAACAAGUAACAAUCGGAGGGCAAGUCUGGUGCCAGCAGCUGCGGUAAUACCAGCUCCGAUAGCGUAUAUUAAAGUUGUUGCGGUUAAAAAGCUCGUAGUUGAGAUUGUGUUCCGCACUGUUGGUGCACCAUACCUGGUGUUUACUGAUMUGUUUGCGGGACGUCCUGCCGGUGGGAUUGUUGCCAUCGUUUUGCGUACGUCACAGUCACAUGCGCGGUGUGCGUGGAACGUUUGUGUUGACAUUCCCYUGUGUGACCCAUUGCGGUGCUCUUGAUUGAGUGUCGUGACGGGCCGGCACGUUUACUUUGAACAAAUUAGAGUGCUAAAAGCAGGCGAAUCCGCCUGAAUAUUGUGUGCAUGGAAUAAUAGAAUAGGACCUCGGUUCUAUUUUGUUGGUUUUCUGAACCAGAGGUAAUGAUUAAGAGGAACGGACGGGGGCAUUCGUAUUGAGACGUUAGAGGUGAAAUUCUUGGAUCGUCUCAAGACGGACCGAAGCGAAAGCAUUUGCCAAGAACGUUUUCAUUAAUCAAGAACGAAAGUUAGAGGUUCGAAGGCGAUCAGAUACCGCCCUAGUUCUAACCAUAAACGAUGCCAGCCAGCGAUCCGCCAAAGUUCCUCCGAUGACUUGGCGGGCAGCUUCCGGGAAACCAAAGCUUUUGGGUUCCGGGGGAAGUAUGGUUGCAAAGCUGAAACUUAAAGGAAUUGACGGAAGGGCACCACCAGGAGUGGAGCCUGCGGCUUAAUUUGACUCAACACGGGAAACCUCACCAGGUCCGGACACCGAAAGGAUUGACAGAUUGAGAGCUCUUUCUUGAUUCGGUGGGUGGUGGUGCAUGGCCGUUCUUAGUUCGUGGAACGAUUUGUCUGGUUAAUUCCGAUAACGAACGAGACUCUAACCUGCUAACUAGCCGUAUCCGGCAUAUCUUGUGCUGCCGGCGGUAUUCAUCUCUUCUUAGAGGGACAGGCGGCUUCUAGCCGCACGAAAUUGUGCAAAAACAGGUCUGUGAUGCCCUUAGAUGUCCUGGGCCGCACGCGCGCUACAAUGAAGGUAUCAACGUGUCCUCCCAGGCCGAACGGUCCGGGUAACCCGCUGAACCACCUUCGUGCUAGGGAUUGGGGCUUGCAAUUGCUCCCCAUGAACGAGGAAUUCCCAGUAAGCGUGAGUCAUAAGCUCGCGUUGAUUACGUCCCUGCCCUUUGUACACACCGCCCGUCGCUACUACCGAUUGAAUGAUUUAGUGAGGUCUUCAGACUGAUGCGCGAUAGCAUUAUUCUUAUAAUGUUGCCGAUGUUAUUGGAAAGAUGACCAAACUUGAUCAUUUAGAGGAAGUAAAAGUCGUAACAAGGUUUCC